rnacentral:lncRNA from 1 species
GCCUUUCCCAGCGCCCAUCUGAACCUCCUCAGCCACGGGAAUCGAAGUGGUGUGUAUCUAAGCUGUAAGUUAGAGUUAUUUCUCAGACCCCAAUUCAAUCAAAUCUCCUGAGACCUUUCGCGUGGCUCUUUCUGGGACAUGACGAGCUUUCAGUGCUGGCCUCCCCCCUUUUAAUUUUUUUUUCAUUGUCAUCAACCUUUUUUGGUUUUGAUUGGAGUAUAAUUGAUGUGCCCUGUUCUACUGUCGGAAACCUUUGAUUUUUAAAAACGAGAACAAAUAAAAGCCACCCUAAAAUGAUUUUUUUUUUUUUUUUUGGAAGGCAGCUCCAUCUCUACCCUGCUUCCUGCACCUGGUGGGGGACGAGUGCUUCUCCGCCCUUCAGGAAACAGCCCACUUGUCAGCAGCUGGGCUCCCGGGAACAAAGGCCUAGGUUCAUUACCACGGAAUCGACCCUGACACGUUGCACGAGGGCCACCUCCCCCAGAGUUCCUCAAUUCACACCCCAAAUGAAGCGUAAUUGGACCUGGACAUCUUUGAAGUCCCUGAGCAGCUUGCCAGCAUUUUGAAAUGUCCUUGAUUUGCAUGGUGAAAACCCGGCUGGAGGUGACUUUUUCUUUCCCCUCGUCCCACGGUUUUAAAGACAGUGUGAUUUUUAAAUGACAUUCCGCAGCCAGGAAGAGUUACCAUGGAAGAAAUAAAAACGCUUCACGCCAGAAAAGAAAAGGCAACUGAAGUCCGGGGAUCUCACGAAUCUCUCAUUUGCCUCUUGGCUCGGGUUUUGUUCUGUGCGGGCCAAUGUUCCAGGCUGCGGUUUCCUCUCAGGCUUCUCCCCAGGUCCCUGACCUGGGAGCAUGAAAAGGAGCCAGGACCUGGAGCUUCCGAAGGCCAGCAGGUCGCCGUCAGACCUGAAGCCAGAAAACCAGCCCUGCCACCGGCUGGUGAGUUGGGCAUCGCAGUCCAACACCACUCUCUCUGAGAAGGGAAAGGUCCUCUAUCCGUGCUGAAAUGUGACUUAGCGCAACUGAGGAAAUGAAUUUUCAACUUGAUGUAAGGUGGGGUUUUUUUGGAUUUUUUUUUCUUUUUUCUUUUUACGGCUGCACCUGCGGCACAUGGAAGUUCCCAGGCCAGGGGUGGAAUUGGGGCUGCAGCUGCCGGCCUACGCCACAGCCACAGCAACGCCAGAUCCGAGCCACAUCUUCGACCUAUGCCGCAGCUUGCAGCAGUGCCCCAGGAUCCUUAACCCAUUGAGCGAGGUCAGGGAUCGAACCUGAAUCCUCACAGAGACAGUGUCGGGUCCUUAACCUGCUGAGCCACAGUGGGAACUCCUUUUUUAGAUUUUAAAAAUUGAAGUAUAGUUGAUUUACAGUUGAUUUGAUCGUUUCAGGCAUACAGCAAAGCGAUUCGCGCAAUUUUAUUUAUUAUAAAUAGCCGCUUGUGGUUAGUGGCCACUAAAUUGGACAGUCCAGGGACACCUGACCAAAUAAAACCCCAAUGGAUGCCUCA